CCUACGGGAGGCAGCAGUGGGGAAUAUUGGACAAUGGGCGAAAGCCUGAUCCAGCCAUGCCGCGUGUGUGAAGAAGGCCUUCGGGUUGUAAAGCACUUUCAGUGGGGAAGAAAGCCUUGGGGCUAAUACCCUCGAGGAAGGACAUCACCCACAGAAGAAGCACCGGCUAACUCCGUGCCAGCAGCCGCUGUAAUACGGAGGGUGCGAGCGUUAAUCGGAAUUACUGGGCGUAAAGCGCGCGUAGGCGGUCUGAUAAGCCGGUUGUGAAAGCCCCGGGCUCAACCUGGGAACGGCAUCCGGAACUGUCAGGCUAGAGUGCAGGAGAGGAAGGUAGAAUUCCCGGUGUAGCGGUGAAAUGCGUAGAGAUCGGGAGGAAUACCAGUGGCGAAGGCGGCCUUCUGGACUGAAACUGACGCUGAGGUGCGAAAGCGUGGGUAGCAAACAGGAUUAGAUACCCCGGUAGUC
rnacentral:rRNA from 1 species